rnacentral:rRNA from 1 species
UGGGGAAUUUUGGACAAUGGGGGCAACCCUGAUCCAGCCAUUCCGCGUGAGUGAAGAAGGCCUUCGGGUUGUAAAGCUCUUUCGGCCGGAACGAAACGGUUUCAGCUAAUACCUGAGACUACUGACGGUACCGGAAGAAGAAGCACCGGCUAACUACGUGCCAGCAGCCGCGGUAAUACGUAGGGUGCGAGCGUUAAUCGGAAUUACUGGGCGUAAAGCGUGCGCAGGCGGUUUACUAAGACAGGUGUGAAAUCCCCGGGCUUAACCUGGGAAUGGCGCUUGUGACUGGUAGGCUAGAGUACGUCAGAGGGGGGUGGAAUUCCACGUGUAGCAGUGAAAUGCGUAGAGAUGUGGAGGAACACCGUUGGCGAAGGCAGCCCCCUGGGAUGAUACUGACGCUCAGGCACGAAAGCGUGGGGAGCAAACAGGAUUAGAUACCCUGGUAGUCCACGCCCUAAACGAUGUCGACUAGUUGUUGGGGAACUUGUUUCUUCAGUAACGCAGCUAACGCGUGAAGUCGACCGCCUGGGGAGUACGGUCGCAAGAUUAA